rnacentral:rRNA from 1 species
UUCCCUUCGGGGGAUGAGUAAAGUGGCAGACGGGUGAGUAACACGUGGGUAACCUGCCCGGAGGUGGGGGAUAACCCUCCGAAAGGAGGGCUAAUACCGCAUGAUAUCUCGAGACCCUCGGGUUUCGAGAUCAAAGCUGGCCUCUACUUGUAAGCUAGCACCACCGGAGGGGCCCGCGCCCCAUUAGCUUGAUGGUGAGGUAACGGCUCACCAUGGCUACGAUGGGUAGCCGGCCUGAGAGGGUGAUCGGCCACACUGGAACUGAGACACGGUCCAGACUCCUACGGGAGGCAGCAGUGAGGAAUUUUGCGCAAUGGGGGAAACCCUGACGCAGCGACGCCGCGUGGAGGAGGAAGGUCUUCGGAUCGUAAACUCCUGUCAAGAGGGACGAAUGCCGCGGAGAUGAAUAAGCUUCGCGGUUGACGGUACCUCUGAAGGAAGCCCCGGCUAACUCCGUGCCAGCAGCCGCGGUAAUACGGAGGGGGCUAGCGUUGUUCGGAAUUAUUGGGCGUAAAGGGCGCGUAGGCGGCCUGGUAAGUCAGUUGUGAAAGCCCUCGGCUCAACCGAGGAAUUGCGACUGAUACUGCCGGGCUUGAGUCCCGGAGAGGGUAGCGGAAUUCCCAGUGUAGCGGUGAAAUGCGUAGAUAUUGGGAGGAACAUCGGUGGCGAAGGCGGCUACC